GACGAACGCUGGCGGCGUGCUUAACACAUGCAAGUCGAACGGAAAGGCCCUGCUUUUGUGGGGUGCUCGAGUGGCGAACGGGUGCGUAACACGUGAGUAACCUGCCCUUGACUUUGGGAUAACUUCAGGAAACUGGGGCUACUACCGGAUAGGAGCCCCUGCUGCAUGGUGGGGGUUGGAACGUUUCGGCGGUUGGGGAUGGACUCGCGGCUUAUCAGCUUGUUGGUGGGGUAGUGGCUUACCAAGGCUUUGCCGGGUAGCCGGCCUGGGAGGGUGACCGGCCACAAUGGGACUGAGAGACGGCCCAGACUCCUACGGGAGGCAGUAGGGGGGAAUAUUGCACAAUGGGCGGAAGCCGGAGGCAGCAACGCCGCGUGCGGGAUGACGUCUUUCGGGUUAUAAACCGCUUUCGCCUGUGACGAAGCGUUAGUGACGGUAAUGGGUAAAGAAGCACCGGCUAACUACGUG
rnacentral:rRNA from 1 species